GGGGGUAUAGUUAAAUGGUAUAACGGAGGUCUCCAAAACCUUUAUUGGGAGUUCGAUUCUCUCUACCCCUG
rnacentral:tRNA from 1 species